ACAAUUUCAUAGCGCUUUUGAGUGAGAAAAGAGAAGAACAUGAGGCAACUCCGUGUUUCUAAAUAGUCUCACAUGCUUUUCAAUUUUGUCUUGUGUUUUUCAAUUUAAACAAUAAAUAAUACAGGCAAACCCUUGUUUCCAUGCCUACUAUCUGUCUCGGCCUAAAAUAUGCAUUUCAACUCGUGUUUUUGUAAGAAAAAUUAGUUUUUCAAGUCUAGUCUUAGAGCAAUAGGUAGAGAGAUUCAAAUGGGUAUAAAUACUUCAUUUUUAGAGCUUGGG
rnacentral:lncRNA from 1 species